rnacentral:tRNA from 1 species
AUUCAAAUAGCUUAUAUUUAGAGCGUGACAUUGAAGCUGUUAAUGAGAUUAUACAAAUCUUUGAAUA